rfam:Candidatus Entotheonella sp. TSY1 genomic scaffold TSY1_scaffold00201, whole genome shotgun sequence.
UGGGGUGUCGUCCAACGGCAGGACUCCAGACUCUGGAUCUGGCUAUCUAGGUUCGAAUCCUAGCACCCCAG